rnacentral:rRNA from 1 species
CAGCAGCCGCGGUAAUACGAAGGGGGCUAGCGUUGCUCGGAAUGACUGGGCGUAAAGGGCGCGUAGGCGGAUCACGCAGUCAGAUGUGAAAUUCCUGGGCUUAACCUGGGGGCUGCAUUUGAGACGCGUAGUCUAGAGUGUGAAAGAGGGUCGUGGAAUUCCCAGUGUAGAGGUGAAAUUCGUAGAUAUUGGGAAGAACACCGGUGGCGAAGGCGGCGACCUGGUUCAUAACUGACGCUGAGGCGCGAAAGCGUGGGGAGCAAACAGGAUUAGAUACCCCCGUAGUCCCUGUCUCUUAUAA